AUCUUGGAGAGUUUGAUCCUGGCUCAGGACGAACGCUGGCGGCGUGCUUAACACAUGCAAGUCGAACGAAGAGCGAUGGAAGCUUGCUUCUAUCAAUCUUAGUGGCGAACGGGUGAGUAACGCGUA
rfam:Veillonella parvula strain SHI-1 CONTIG_1, whole genome shotgun sequence.